ensembl:misc_RNA Y_RNA Y RNA
GGCUGGUCUGAGUGCAGUGGUGUUUACAAUGAACUGAUCACAGCCAGUUACAGAUUUCUUUGUUCCUUCUCCACUCCCACUGCUUUGCUUGACUAGGCUUAA